UCUCAUUUUGUGAAAAUCAUUUAUAAAUCACAAAGAACACCAUAAAUCAGUAUAUUCUGUAUAUAUAGGGAUUGUUCUGUAUGCAUACACCUGCAGAUGGGGAAAACAUCAGGGUGUAGCAGAAGAACUAAAGGGGGGCCUUCAGGGUGGCCCACUUCUUCCAGUGAACACAGGGUACUGGUCAUGACUGCACCACAGAAGUCCUACAAGCCUUACCGUGAUACUUAUCAUCUGGUAGGAAAUGCAUUACAUAAGAGAAGGGUCAGAAAAAGAAUUUGAUGAUCCCAGCUUGAAAGACUAAAUUGAGGCAGAUCACCCUUGUGAUGAGAUCAUCCAGUGUACCACCGUUUUCCUCCUAGAAAACGUGGGCGAUAAGAGGAUCAGAAGAAGCCCACAAAAAAAGGAUUACAUUGCACUCAUUUUUUUCUUUACAAAUACUUUCUCACAUUGUAAACUGUUCUGAAGAAAAUGCUAUCAUCCAAACUUGCGAUAACAUAA